GCGCAACAACUUCCACCUGGCUUACCUUUUCAGUCUUGUGUCAUUGCUUGUAUCGCAUUGAAUGCAUGGUGGGUUUCUUGUGUUGCAUGCCUAAUUGAUGGUAUCAUUUCAAGAAUUGAUGUCCCUUUUCAUCUUGUGUCGCACAUGCGAUGUGAGAUGAACCUUGAAGUAGCCUUUGUGAUCCACUCUUUCGAUGUACACGCAUUGAUUUUGUGGCCCACUGUGUGUUGCUUGGUCUCAUGGAUAUGGAACCUGGUGUGGGCAUGGGAUCUUUACUAGUUCCUUGUUUGCCCUGGUUUAGCUUUUCUAAUACGAUUGUUUAUCACAUUUUAUAAUGUGGUAGGCUAUAUCGGAUAUGAGUGCUACCUGGUUGAUCCUGCC
rnacentral:misc_RNA from 1 species